rnacentral:rRNA from 1 species
AUUGAACGCUGGCGGCAGGCCUAACACAUGCAAGUCGAGCGGAUGAGUGGAGCUUGCUCCAUGAUUCAGCGGCGGACGGGUGAGUAAUGCCUAGGAAUCUGCCUGGUAGUGGGGGACAACGUUUCGAAAGGAACGCUAAUACCGCAUACGUCCUACGGGAGAAAGCAGGGGACCUUCGGGCCUUGCGCUAUCAGAUGAGCCUAGGUCGGAUUAGCUAGUAGGUGAGGUAAUGGCUCACCUAGGCGACGGUCCGUAACUGGUCUGAGAGGAUGAUCAGUCACACUGGAACUGAGACACGGUCCAGACUCCUACGGGAGGCAGCAGUGGGGAAUAUUGGACAAUGGGCGAAAGCCUGAUCCAGCCAUGCCGCGUGUGUGAAGAAGGUCUUCGGAUUGUAAAGCACUUUAAGUUGGGAGAAGGGCAGUAAGUUAAUACCUUGCUGUUUUGACGUUACCAACAGAAUAAGCACCGGCUAACUUCGUGCCAGCAGCCGCGGUAA